rnacentral:rRNA from 1 species
CCCAGUGUUUCUAACGGCAAGGGUACACCCGAUCCCAUCCCGAACUCGGCAGUUAAGCUUGCCAGCCCCGAUGGUAUCCGCCUUUGGCGGAGAGAGUAGGACAAUGCUGGGU